UGUCCCGGAAAAACGCCUUUUGGGGUGGGGGUCUGCCCCCGGUGUGUUUCUCGACGGCAGUGAUGCGGGCGGGCGGGCGGGCUACCUGAGCCCUUUGGCGGGCGGUUUUCCUCCCUGCCCAGCCAGGAUAAAGGAAUGCGAGGAAGGGAGCCGCCGCCGCUGCCGCCGCCGCCGCCGGAGAGAGAAGAGCCUCGCAGCCGCCCUUCCCGCCGCUGCUUUCGCUCCAAAUCAAAUGACAGAGUGAAGUGAGCUGGUCCGGAGACACCUUCAUCAAUUAAUUCCUCUAAAGCCAACGCUGAUUGGACACUCCUGACAGGCAGAACAGACCAUGUAUCCUGGUGGAGAGAUCUCUACACUAGCUAAAUCAGGAAGGAAAAGCACGUGGACUCGAGUUGUUUUGCAGCCAAGUCCCAGAACCCACUGAAGCGGAAGCACGAGUUUUUAAGCAGAUCCAAGGGAUACCUUUUUGAAGAGAAGAGCACCGAAUGAACAUCGCUCCAGAUAGCUGGGGAUGGGCCUUGGGGAAGUAAAUGGGAACAAAACAGAUUAAGAUCAGUGGGACUGAAUCGGGUCCCCUCUUUGUAGGCUGGUUUAACUGGGCUGUGGAUUGGAAGGGCAUUCAAGACGCACACUUUCUGCAGCUCACCUCCCCCCACUCGCCAGAUUAUCAAUCAAAUGUGUUCCUUUUCCCAUGGAGUGAGCCUCAGUCUGUAAUGUAUACUCCACCUUAGAUAGGAUUUCUUUACCUUAGAUGAUAUUUCACUCUGAAGCACUCAUGGCCAGUGACAAACCUAAUUAGAAAAUAACAAGGAAAAAUAUUCUUCACCCACUUCUGUAAACCUAUUCCCACUGAUGUCAGAUGGUGUUGUUUUUAACUGGUGGUAUUCAUAUACAUCCAUUUAGUCACUGUUUUUGGGUUGUGAGGAAGGGUGUGUGUCCAUGAGAGGGGGGGUCUAUAUUUGAAACCGCCCUCUUAGGUUGUGCUUUGAUAUAUUUUCAUUGUAUUAUCAUGAUGAUGUUUAAACAGCUCUGCAAUCUAGGCUGACCUCUUCUUUCUGGGGCAAAUAGCUCAGAGCACCAUUUACAGCCUUUUAAAGGUUUACUUGUGAAAUGCAACAGCCUUUUAAGCCUCUGUUUCACUUGGUCUCUGCAUUUUUCUUAUCCUGGUGUAUUUUUACACAGAAACCAUCUUUUUCUUUAUGAUUAGCAAUUUCUGCUUAGUGUAGCAAAGGUUCUUCAAGGAUUAGCCUAGAGAGAACACUGAUUAUGUAUUUUCUUCCAGAAGUAGAAAUUCAACCUUUUCCAGUCUAAAAUAGCUAUAGCCAAUCUAACAAUCUACCGCCCCCGAUAAUAUGUCCACUGCAGUUAUGGGGGAUACAGGAGAGAUGGGGCAAAAAGCCAAAAAACCUGUUGCAAAGGGUCAAAGAACCCCCCAGGACUAUAAAUUCAGUUAGAUGUGACUGCUAAAAAACGCAAUGCAUAUUUUUUAAAAUGACAAAUAUAGAUCCUUUUGCUUAGGGUAAUUAAAGGAGGGGGGUGUUUUGGACACUUCAAGACCCAUAACUAAGUUCUUGUAACAUAACAUCAGGCUUUUGAGUUAUUUCUUUGUAAACAAAGCAACAAUUUAUAGUGCUGUUAAGGGCUGCUCCUUCCUCCCCCUUUCCCAAGCUUUGUUUUCUCACAUGGAGUAUCUUCUUGCUCCACAGAUAUUAGGGAAAGACGGACUUUCCCCUUUUUAAUCGUCAGGUUUUUUUCCCUAGAAACUUUGCUCAUCCUUGUUGUUUUUAAACCUCACUUUUAAAGAAGAGGUUUUUUGGGACACAAACUGCAUGCCAUGUUGCCUACUGACCCAUAAUCAAAAUGCAGUGACCUUCUACCCUUUUUUUGCCCCUUGACCCAUCCUGAAUUCAAUGCAGCCUUUAUAAAUUUGCAAAUCCUUGGACGAAAAGGGGAUUUGGGGGGGGCUUUGUUCUGUGAGGGUCCUAAAAGUGUGCAUUUUUAAUUAGACACGAAGGUGCAGUAAACAGAGUCCCGAACACACUUGUGUUUCUUACAUUACAGGUGGGCAUAUGCCUAAAUUAGAUUUCAAAAAGAUAUUGCUUCCCAACGCACUGCCCCCCCCCCCCAAAAUUGCCACUAGAACCAAUGCACAGAAAUUGAAGCAAGCAGCAAAAGGCAAUUGCAAACAUACGAGAUUCGAAGGUUAUGGAUUGCACCAAAUUAGCAAUGUGGUACAAAUCACUUCCAUGACGUAAGGAAUGGCCAGACCACAGCCUUCCAGCGCUCCUCAUCUCCAAGGUCUGUGGGGAUCUUGAUGACCCGGGGAGGGGAGAGGGGAGGGGGAGAGGAGAGGGAGAUUUGAUCUGAAGCUACAGGCGCAUUCCCUUAUCUCGCUUGCUAUCAGCCAGUUUAAAGGACACCAUAAUUACGAUUGCGAUAAAAGCAAGACAAUGCGUGCCCAUUUGUGCUGAAUAAAUAAGGAAUGUUUACAACUCUAGAAUGUUUCAACGGUAAUUAAAGACCGGCAAA